GACGAACGCUGGCGGCGUGCUUAACACAUGCAAGUCGAACGAAGUGGCGAACGGGUGAGUAACGCGUAAUCAACCUGCCCUUCAGAGGGGGACAACAGUUGGAAACGACUGCUAAUACCGCAUACGGAAGGAGGGGCUUGCGUCUGAUUAGGUAGUUGGCGGGGUAACGGCCCACCAAGGCGAUGAUCAGUAGCCGGACUGAGAGGAGGAACGGCCACAUUGGGACUGAGACAAGGCCCAGAAUCCUACGGGAGGGAGCAGUGGGGAAUCUUCCGCAAUGGACGAAAGUCUGACGGAGCAACGCCGCGUGAGUGAUGACGGCCUUCGGGUUGUAAAGCUCUGUUAAUCGGGACGCGGUACCGGAAUAGAAAGCCACGGCUAACUACGUGCCAGCCGCCGCGGUAAUUC
rnacentral:rRNA from 1 species